UUAGGUUCAGGAUAACCUUGGGAAACUGAGGGUAAUACUGAAUAGAGGAACUGUUCUGGAAAUGAUUUUUCCUUUAAAAGCAAUGCCUAAAGAUAGGGCAGCGGCGGAUUAGGUUGUUGGUGGGGUAAUGGCCCACCAAGCUUAUGAUCCGUACGGGCCGUGAGAGCGGUAGCCCGGAGAGGGACACUGAGAAACUGGUCCCAGCCCUACGGGGUGCAGCAGGCCGAAACCUUUACAAUGCACGAAAGUGUGAUAAGGGAACCCCAAGUGCUAAAGUAUAACUUUGGCUUUUGCCAAGUGUAAAUAGCUUGGAGAAUAAGUGGUGGGUAAGACUGGUGCCAGCAGCCGCGGUAACACCAGCGCCACGAGUGGGAACCAUGUUUAUUUGGCCUAAAGCGUCCGUAGCUGGUCUAGAAAGUCUUUUGUGAAAUCAUCGGGCUUAACUCGAUGACGUGCAGGGGAAACUACUAGACUCGAGACCGGGAGGAGUCAGAGGUAUUCGAAGGGGAGCGGUAAAAUGCUAUAAUCCUUCGAGGACCACCUGUGGCGAAGGCGUCUGACUAGAACGGAUCUGACAGUGAGGGACGAAAGCUAGGGGAGCGAUCCGGAUUAGAUACCCGAGUAGUCCUAGCCGUAAACGCUGCGAGCAAGGCGUUGCAUAUUCUACGUGAAUAUGCAGUGUCGAAACGAAGGUGUUAAGCUCGCCGCCUGGGAAGUAUGGUCGCAAGACUGAAACUUAAAGGAAUUGGCGGGGGAGCACUACAAGGGGUGCGGCGUGCGGUUUAAUCUAACUCAACGCAGAGAACCUCACCAGAGGCGACGGCAGAAUGAAAGUCAGUCUGAAGGGCUUACUUGACGAGCCGAGAGGUAGUGCAUGGCCGCCGUCAGCUCGUGCUGUAAGGUGUCCUGUUAAGUCAGGCAACGAGCGAGACCUGUACCUAUAAUUGCUAACAACUAGCUUGCUAGGAUUGAGCACUUUAUAGGAACUGCCCUGGAAACAGGGAGGAAGGUGCAGGCUACGGUAGGUCUGUAUGCUCCGAAUCCUCUGGGCGACACGCGCGCAACAAUGGUAAGGACAAUGGGAUGCAACUCCGAAAGGAGAAGCUAAACCUCUAAACCUUAUCCUAGUCUAGAUCGAGGGUUGCAACUCACCCUCGUGACAAUGGAAUCCCUAGUAAUCGGGUGUCAACAUCGCCCGGUGAAUAUGUCCCUGCUCCUUGCACACACCGCCCGUCAAACCACUCGAGCAGGGUCUAGGUGAGCGCUAGCCUUUUUAGUUGGUGCGAAUCUGGGCUCAGUGAGAUGGGUUAAGUCGUCACAAGGUA
rnacentral:rRNA from 1 species